CCUCUUCGUCCUCGUAGCAGACUAGCAGGUCUCCUUGUAGCUCUCGUACUCGUAGCGGCGCCCGCCGCCGGCGUGUCCGUUCCCGUGGCGGCGGCCGGCGCUGUAGGUCUCCUCCUCGCACGACUCCUCGUAGGUAUCCUCCUCGCACGACUCCUCGUAGGUCUCCUGGUAAGUCUCGUAGCGGUGGGAGCCGCCGCCGUUGUGGUGGCGGUGCGCCUGCUGCUGCUGCUGGAGGGCGUGGUUGCUGUGGCCGCGGCGGGGGUCGUAGCAGUCCCCGUCCACCUCCUCGAACGACUCCUUGUGCACGGCC
rnacentral:lncRNA from 1 species